UACGUAGGUGGCAAGCGUUGUCCGGAAUUAUUGGGCGUAAAGCGCGCGCAGGCGGUCCUUUAAGUCUGAUGUGAAAGCCCACGGCUCAACCGUGGAGGGUCAUUGGAAACUGGGGGACUUGAGUACAGAAGAGGAAAGCGGAAUUCCACGUGUAGCGGUGAAAUGCGUAGAGAUGUGGAGGAACACCAGUGGCGAAGGCGGCUUCUUGGGCCAUUUCUGACGCUGAGGCGCGAAAGCUAGGGGAGCGAACGGG
rnacentral:rRNA from 1 species